UACGGGGGGGGUAAGCGUUGUUCGGAAUUACUGGGCGUAAAGGGCUCGUAGGCGGCCAACUAAGUCAUACGUGAAAUCCCUCGGCUUAACUGGGGAACUGCGUGUGAUACUGGAUGGCUUGGAUUUGGGAGAGGGAUGCGGAAUUCCAGGUGUAGCGGUGAAAUGCGUAGAUAUCUGGAGGAACACCGGUGGCGAAGGCGGCAUCCUGGACCAAUAUUGACGCUGAGGAGCGAAAGCUAGGGGAGCAAACGGG
rnacentral:rRNA from 1 species